rnacentral:tRNA from 1 species
UCACAUUUAAGUUAAUUUAAACUAAUAGCUUGUGGUGCUAUAAAUGCUUUUUAUGCCAUGUGAA